rnacentral:rRNA from 1 species
AGUGAACGCUGGCGGCGUGCCUAAUACAUGCAAGUCGAACGGAGUGGCGCACGGGUGAGUAAUGUAUAGCUAAUCUGCCCUACACUAGAGGACAACAGUUGGAAACGACUGCUAAUACUCUAUAGUUUAGGAUGAGGAUAUAUUGUAUCAGCUAGUUGGUGAGGUAAAGGCUCACCAAGGCUAUGACGCAUAACUGGUCUGAGAGUAUGAUCAGUCACACGUGAACUGAGACACGGGCCAGACGCCUACGGGAGGCUGCAGUAGGGAAUAUUGCUCAAUGGCGGGAACCCUGAAGCAGCAACGCCGCGUGUAGGAUUACACUUUUCGGAGCGUAAACUCCUUUUGUUAGGGAAGCGGUACCUCACGAAUAAGCACCGGCUAACUCCGUGCCAGCACCGCCGGUAAUUC